CCUACGGGACGCAGCAGUGAGGAAUAUUGGUCAAUGGACGCAAGUCUGAACCAGCCAUGCCGCGUGCAGGAAGACGGCUCUAUGAGUUGUAAACUGCUUUUGUACGAGGGUAAACGCAGAUACGUGUAUCUGUCUGAAAGUAUCGUACGAAUAAGGAUCGGCUAACUCCGUGCCAGCAGCCGCGGUAAUACGGAGGAUUCAAGCGUUAUCCGGAUUUAUUGGGUUUAAAGGGCGUGUAGCCGGGUUGACAAGUCAGAUGUGAAAUCCUGCGGCUUAACCGCAGAACUGCAUUUGAAACUGUUGAU
rnacentral:rRNA from 1 species